rnacentral:rRNA from 1 species
GACGAACGCUGGCGGCGUGCUUAACACAUGCGAGUCGAACGGAAAGGCCCUGCUUUUGUGGGGUGCUCGAGUGGCGAACGGGUGAGUAACACGUGAGUAACCUGCCCUUGACUUUGGGAUAAAUCCAGGAAACUGGGGCUAAUACCGGAUAGGAGCUCCUGCUGCGUGGUGGGGGUUGGAAAGUUUCGGCGGUUGGGGAUGGACUCGCGGCUUAUCAGCUUGUUGGUGGGGUAGUGGUUUACCAAGGCUGCGACGGAUAGCCGGCCUGGGAGGGUGACCGGGCACAUGGGGACUGAGGUAGGGCCCAGACGCCUACGGGAGGCAGCAGUGGGGAGUCUGACGCAAUGGGCGGAAGCCUGAUGCAGCAACGCCGCGUGCGGGAUGACGGCCUUCGAGUUGUAAACCGCUUUCGCCUGUAACGAAGCGUGAGUGACGGUAAUGGGUAAAGAAGCACCGGCUAACUACGUG